rnacentral:lncRNA from 1 species
AAAGAAAACAAGAAAAAACCAAUCUUUUCGAUUAAAAAAAAAAACUUCUUCAUCUAGAAUCAAGAGAACCCCUUAUCUAACUCAUGACAGCAUCGAGCGGUGCAGAAGAAAGACAAAAAGAAAUCACAGAGUCCCAAACCAAAGAGAGACUGGAUUUUGUCGAAUUAGAAGCCAAAAUCCAUAGAUUUCUUAUCAUCAAAUGAUACCAACACAGUAUUUACAAAUUAACUAUUUAAAAAGAAUCAACCUAUUAAAACAGAAUUCAAGAAGAAUCAAGAGAAACGCAGAGAUAGAAAAACGCCAACCUCGUUUUUUAUCAAAUCCGGAAUAAAAGCAUCGGAAGCAAAAAGAUUGAUCGAGCGGUAGAGAUAGAGAAAGAGGACUGACCUUGGGCGGAACUCGGAAUCGAAUCUAUUAUUCGGGGCGAUGGCGGAGGAGAGACGAGACGAGAGAAUUCUUGUUUCAAGUCUGGGUUUUGAGGUUGAGA